GAAUCUGCCUGGUAGUGGGGGAUAACGCUCGGAAACGGACGCUAAUACCGCAUACGUCCUACGGGAGAAAGCAGGGGACCUUCGGGCCUUGCGCUAUCAGAUGAGCCUAGGUCGGAUUAGCUAGUUGGUGAGGUAAUGGCUCACCAAGGCGACGAUCCGUAACUGGUCUGAGAGGAUGAUCAGUCACACUGGAACUGAGACACGGUCCAGACUCCUACGGGAGGCAGCAGUGGGGAAUAUUGGACAAUGGGCGAAAGCCUGAUCCAGCCAUGCCGCGUGUGUGAAGAAGGUCUUCGGAUUGUAAAGCACUUUAAGUUGGGAGGAAGGGCAUUAACCUAAUACGUUGGUGUCUUGACGUUACCGACAGAAUAAGCACCGGCUAACUCUGUGCCAGCAGCCGCGGUAAUACAGAGGGUGCAAGCGUUAAUCGGAAUUACUGGGCGUAAAGCGCGCGUAGGUGGUUUGUUAAGUUGGAUGUGAAAUCCCCGGGCUCAACCUGGGAACUGCAUUCAAAACUGACAAGCUAGAGUAUGGUAGAGGGUGGUGCAAUUUCCUGUGCAG
rnacentral:rRNA from 1 species